GACGAACGCUGGCGGCGUGCUUAACACAUGCAAGUCGAGCGGUAAGGCCCUUUCGGGGGUACACGAGCGGCGCACGGGUGAGUAACACGUGUGCAAACUGCCCAUGCCUCUGGGAUAACCACUGGAAACGGUGGCUAAUACCGGAUAUGACCUCCUUCUGCAUGGUUGGUGGUGGAAAAGUCCGCUGGACAGGGAUGAGCCGGCGGCCUAUCAGCUUGUUGGUGGGGUAAUGGCCUACCAAGGCGACGACGGGUAGCCGGCCUGAGAGGGUGACCGGCCACAAGGGGACUGAGACACGGCCCAGAGGCCUACGGGAGGCAGCAGGGGGGAAUAUUGGACAAUGGGCGAGAGCGUGAUCAAGCAACGCCGCGUGAGGGAUGACGGCUUUCGGGUUGGAAACCUCUGUCAGCAGGGACGAAGCGAAAGUGACGGUACCUGCAGAAGAAGGACCGGCCAACUACGUG
rnacentral:rRNA from 1 species